AACACCCAGUUCUAAGAUCUUGGAGCAUUUCAAGCAACACCUCUUUCACUUUAUCCCAGAAAAUCUUGAAGAAAACAACAGAAAAGCCAUAAUUGACCCUUUACCACCUACAAAAAACGACCACAAUAUGAGUACAAAGUACUAGAUGUCUAGAAUACUAUACAAAUAAUUAAUUUGGAUUAAAAAAUAAACAAGGAAAAAAUACCUAAGGACUUGAGCAUGAAGUGAAACAACU
rnacentral:lncRNA from 1 species